GUCUGGCUGUGACAUUUGUCACAUCCAGAAGCUGUGUGCUAGGUCCAAGAGCACGACCUUCUCUGAUAGAGGAAGACGUGUUCUUCGGUCAAGGGGAACGAGUGAUGGCUCUCCCCUGCUAAAACCUCCAAACAACUCUCAAGGUCCAUUUGUAGAAGAUGUAGGAUAGUCAAGCUUCCAAGACUCCAGACACACCCACAUUAGGCGCUGCAGCUAGCAGUCAGCCUUUCUUU
rnacentral:snRNA from 1 species